rnacentral:ncRNA from 2 species
AUACGUGCUCCGGGGUCGGUGUAAGUCCGAACCGGCGGUUAUAGUCCGCGACCCGCGCGUUAACGGUUACCACUCUUGUGGAGCCGGAAGCAGACGGUUGAACCGGUGGAAUUCCGGUACCGACAGUUAAAGUCUGGAUGGGAGAAGCACGUAC